rnacentral:rRNA from 1 species
UAUAAUGCAGUCGAGCGAACAGAUAAGGAGCUUGCUCCUUUGACGUUAGCGGCGGACGGGUGAGUAACACGUGGGUAACCUACCUAUAAGACUGGAAUAACUCCGGGAAACCGGGGCUAAUGCCGGAUAACAUUUAGAACCGCAUGGUUCUAAAGUGAAAGAUGGUUUUGCUAUCACUUAUAGAUGGACCCGCGCCGUAUUAGCUAGUUGGUAAGGUAACGGCUUACCAAGGCAACGAUACGUAGCCGACCUGAGAGGGUGAUCGGCCACACUGGAACUGAGACACGGUCCAGACUCCUACGGGAGGCAGCAGUAGGGAAUCUUCCGCAAUGGGCGAAAGCCUGACGGAGCAACGCCGCGUGAGUGAUGAAGGGUUUCGGCUCGUAAAACUCUGUUAUUAGGGAAGAACAAACGUGUAAGUAACUGUGCACGUCUUGACGGUACCUAAUCAGAAAGCCACGGCUAACUACGUGCCAGCAGCCGCGGUAAUACGUAGGUGGCAAGCGUUAUCCGGAAUUAUUGGGCGUAAAGCGCGCGUAGGCGGUUUCUUAAGUCUGAUGUGAAAGCCCACGGCUCAACCGUGGAGGGUCAUUGGAAACUGGGAGACUUGAGUGCAGAAGAGGAAAGUGGAAUUCCAUGUGUAGCGGUGAAAUGCGCAGAGAUAUGGAGGAACACCAGUGGCGAAGGCGACUUUCUGGUCUGUAACUGACGCUGAUGUGCGAAAGCGUGGGGAUCAAACAGGAUUAGAUACCCUGGUAGUCCACGCCGUAAACGAUGAGUGCUAAG